CCUACGGGGGGCUGCAGUGGGGAAUAUUGGACAAUGGGGGGAACCCUGAUCCAGCCAUGCCGCGUGUGUGAAGAAGGCCCUCGGGUUGUAAAGCACUUUCAGUGAGGAAGAACGCCUGGUGGUUAAUACCCAUCAGGAAAGACAUCACUCACAGAAGAAGCACCGGCUAACUCCGUGCCAGCAGCCGCGGUAAUACGGAGGGUGCGAGCGUUAAUCGGAAUUACUGGGCGUAAAGCGCGCGUAGGUGGCUUGAUAAGCCGGUUGUGAAAGCCCCGGGCUCAACCUGGGAACGGCAUCCGGAACUGUCAAGCUAGAGUGCAGGAGAGGAAGGUAGAAUUCCCGGUGUAGCGGUGAAAUGCGUAGAGAUCGGGAGGAAUACCAGUGGCGAAGGCGGCCUUCUGGACUGACACUGACACUGAGGUGCGAAAGCGUGGGUAGCAAACAGGAUUAGAUAUCCUUGUAGUC
rnacentral:rRNA from 1 species